CUGCAGCUCAAGUGGUGAUCGUUAUUAUUGGGCCUAAAACGUCCGUAGCCGGUUUAGUAAAUGCCUGGGUAAAUCGUGUAGCUUAACUAUACGACUUCCGGGUAGACUGCUAAACUUGAGACCGGGAGAGGCUAGAGGUACUCCUGGGGUAGAGGUGAAAUUCUGUAAUCCUAGGGGGACCACCAGUGGCGAAGGCGUCUAGCUAGAACGGGUCUGACGGUGAGGGACGAAGCCCUGGGGCGCAAAACGGAUUAGAUACCCGAGUAGUCC
rnacentral:rRNA from 1 species